CUCCCUUUAAAGCCCUCUGCUGCCUCCACCGGCCAAUUUCCGUCAGUCACAAUGUUGGAGGAUGAAAUCCAUCUCCCUCGGCUCCGAUCCGAACCUCAAGAGGAUCAGAUCUGCUGCGAUUGUGCUGGUGAAUUGCGUACAGCUUCAACACCUUUUGGGCUUGAACAAAUCUUCUUCAAAAGCUCAGAAGCAAUGAAAUACGCCUCCUCUUUGUUUCUGAAGAAAAGUUGUAAAACAUUUACCAAUGGAGUCGAAGACAAAGCAUAACUUAUAGUUGAGCAACUUCACGGACAAACCUUAGAAACUCGCACAGAACUGUUUCCAAAGAUCCACGACUACCAACCAGCACCUCAGCCAAAUGCGAAUACCGGGCUAGGUUUCUUAGAGUGGACAGUGCAUGUUUCAGAACCUCUUGAUCAGAUCAGAAAGUGCAGCCACAAGUCUGUUUAUAAUACGCAUGCCGUCAUCUACAUUUGCAGCAGUUUUUUUCACCCUCAAGCGUAAAUCAAUCAGCUGCUUCCCCCUUGAAUCCUUUCGUGCAAGUAAAACACCCCUCCACCACCUUUGCAACUUCAAAACUGAGCAAAGAAAUAUACCCCAUUCAAGACUAUGGAACCAAGUUCUUGAAGUCGAAGGGCAUUCCAUUGGAACACCCUUGUACAGGCAAGAAGCCCCUGUAUCACCACAAUGUCACAUAUGAGUUCACUUACAAAUACUGAAAUAUUAAUCCAAAAAGGGCUGUGGAAUUGAAUUGGCACUGCGAAUGAAUGAUACCUAAAAGCCUCCUUCGAACAA